CUAGUGACUGAUUAUCAAAAUCACAGGGCUUAGUUUAAGACUUUGAUAGAUUAUGGCUGAUAUGUGAUCAGUGUUUUAUUUCGUAAGAUCAACAUCGGCCAUAACAGUAAUGGUCCCAAGGUAGCAAAAUUCCUUGUCGUUUAAGUAACGACCUGCAUGAAGGAUUUAACAAUUAGGUAACUUUAUGAGUCCAACAGUCGUUUAGUUAGUAGUCUGAGCGAAGAUACUCUGAUUUUGUUGUUUGGGGACAAAAAGACCCUUUGAAUCUUCAUAGGGCUUGUUUAGUGGUUUUCUUUAGGCGUGGUUGAGUUGGGAUAGGCUAGCCAAACUCACCUUUCGUAUACACGCGGUAGAUAAUAUGAGAGUCGGUCACAUUUCAAUUUGGUCUAUUUAAUUGGGGCGAUUUCCUUAUAUUUAAACUACUGGAGUACAAAGCUGGUUUCGUUCUAUUUGGACAGAGCUCAGCGGAUCGUGACAUAUGCUUAUUUAACUUUUGGUUUUUGGACGUUUAAGUUCUGUGAUGAUGUCUCAGUGACCUUAUCAUCAAAUUAUCUGAUAAAAGUUACUCUAGGGAUAACAGGCUUACUUAGAAUUAGAGCACACAUUAACUUUGAUGUUUGGCACCUCGAUGUCGGCUUUAACUUUUGGAGGUAUGCAACAUUACUAUCGGUUGGAGAGCUCAUCCUUUUAUAGGUUACGCGAGCUGGGUUCAGAACGAUGCGAAUCAGUUUGGUCUAUAUCUCUUACUUGGUCGAUCUUUAGUUUUAGUUAUUCUUCAGUACGCAAGGACCAAGGAGA
rnacentral:rRNA from 1 species